rnacentral:rRNA from 1 species
UAGGGAAUCUUCGGCAAUGGACGAAAGUCUGACCGAGCAACGCCGCGUGAGUGAAGAAGGUUUUCGGAUCGUAAAACUCUGUUGGUAGAGAAGAACGUUGGUAAGAGUGGAAAGCUCAUCAAGUGACGGUAACUACCCAGAAAGGGACGGCUAACUACGUGCCAG